CACUUUAUCUCUAAUCUCAUCGGAGAAAUCAUUCAUUUGAAUUUAUACAAGAAUUUUCUUUGUCUUCUCCGGCGAAGAACAACCAACCCAUCACCACCAUAAGUCCACCUCCACAACGCCAUUUGUUCUUCUUUUUCGACGAACCACCAGCCACCAAACAACCACCACAAAACAACCACUCAAAAUCCAAAUCAAUCACCAACAAACACCAAACCAG
rnacentral:lncRNA from 1 species